rnacentral:lncRNA from 1 species
UGGGGAUGAAGACUGUGAGUCCUACAUGGGACAACCUGAUGACCCGGGCAGUGUUUGGCACAUAGUAAAUGCUUGACAAAUACCAACAUUAUUAUUCUGAUUAUUCUGUGGGGAGCAUGUCAGGAAGGAGGCCCUAAGACCCUCUCACCCUUCAACCGCUCCUUCACAGCUGAACUUCCCCUUGACUCUGAGGCACCCCGGGGGAUCCCCCUGCCUCAGUAAAUCAUUUGAUCAAUCAAUUGAUCAUAUUUUCAUCGUGUUCUGUACCCAAGGGGACAACCUGGGGUGGGGCUACUGUCCUUCCCCCCCUUCCCCUCCCCCAGACUGACCAGGCCCCGGGCAGGGGUGAGGGGGGUGGGGACGGGGGGCCGCUCUGAGCCUGUGCCUUGGGCGCCCGCAGAUGUGAUAAAAAAGGGGAGAUGUCCCGUGGUGAACAUCCGCUGCGCCAUGCUCAACCCUCCUAACCGCUGCCUGAAGGAUUCCGACUGUCCCGCCAGGAAGAUAUGCUGCGAGGGAGCCUGCGGGAAGGCCUGCGUCACCCCAGAAAGAAAUUGAGCGGUUGCGGUUGAGAUGUCUGCAGCUCUAAGGCCCAACAGGACUCCUGCCCGGCUCCCUGCCCCCGGACCACCCCUCUCUGUCUCUCCCUGACUUUCGAGGGGUGGGCGAGACAGGGAGGGGGUCUUACCCUUGCCCCUCCUGCUGGAGCAACUGCUUUCUCUAUCUGGAACCAAUAAACAAACCCCAUCUCCCCCCAGCCCCAGCAGCCUGCCUGUGACUUUGCUUUUUGGGUGGCUCCUUCU